AGUGUUUUCCUGUGAGCUUCUCACACAUGUCUUUUCUUGCUUUAGGGUUAAACUUAUUGUUGUGAGGUAACAACACACUAAUUGUACACAAGUACUCACACUGCCACCUCUGCAUACUCCCCCCACACCAAUAGACACUCACAUUCACACUCAUGUGGGCCACACAUCCACACCCACCCACCCAUGCACACUGGACCACAAACACACUCAACCCACCCUAUACCACACACAUCACACCACACACCACACACCCGAAGCACACACACCCACACACCACACACAUACAUAAAUAGCAAACACACAUACACCAAAAA
rnacentral:lncRNA from 1 species